GUUGGGGUCGUCAUUGAAGGUAUCUAGCCUUACAGGGGCAACAUGGUGCAUGGACAAAUGUCAAUGCAAGUUCGUCGUCAUUCAUAUGAAGGUGAUUCAAAUGAGUUAUCACUCUAAACAUUAGAUGUCUCUUGUACUGGAUUUUGUCUCGCCCUCGGAUUCUUGAAGGUCCUUAUCUUGGUAGGUGUAUUUGGGCAAAGUGCUGGACAUUUCGUAAGCAUCCUCAUGCUCCGGGAUUUGCGGGGGCGCUUGAGAUUGGAUCCUCUAUUCUGAGCCUCUUCAUUUAUGUAGGGCUGGUCCUCUUGGUGGAGUUCCGCUAUCAAAUCCAAAAUCCGCUUAUUUUCGUUGGAAGUAAUAUGUCGUUUGAUCUGCAACGUAUGUAACAAGACAGCAACGCUCAGAUGAGGGUUGAAAUGAUAUACGCGUAUCUAUGAAUUAUGAAUGAUUAUAAAAACAAAACCUAAAACGCACCUUGGUCGAAAGAACAGCCCGCAUGAGGAAGUAACUUCUAAUGCUGGAACUCUUGAAGACCAUGAGCAAGAUCAGAAUAAGGUUGAGUCCGCAAAUAAAGCCCAGAAUGGUGUACCAAAACCAUAAGAACACAAAUAUCUUUUCCGAGAUGAUGUUAGGUGCCAGGACGCAUAAAAAGCUAUCCUCUGUGAGAUCACCGGCUGAGCCAAACGUUUGGAACAAGCACCGAGUCAAACGAGGAAAUGUCUGGUACAAGACCAUGGAACUACUUUCACUGGAAUCGAAAACGGCCUUAACCCACCGAUAACCCAAAUCGUUGAACUCCCCAUCCAAGAAGGAAUUGUUAAAAAUGACCGAAAAGGCCAGGACCAA